CAGAGGUGCAGCCCCCAGUCCACGACCGUCGCUACACAGACACAGACCCAGAGAAUAACAUUUACCACCAUUCAAACUGCAUUCCAUGCAGUACUUUGAAUCGUGGAAUGACUCAAGAAAACCCCUUUGGUGACGUCGAGAGCUUAGGAGGUGUGAACCUGAGACAAAGAUGAUGUUGUGACAGAGAAGGAAGGGUGACUGCGACUGUCACGA